rnacentral:lncRNA from 1 species
UUUGGGGCGGGUCCUUAAGGAAUUGUUAACAUUGGGAGAUGUGGCUGUCACCUCCAAGGAGACCUCCAGUCUCCAAGGAGACCCCGGUGCCCUUCACAGCAGGAUCUGUGCAGGGAUGUGCUGCCGGACAACCAGAGGAACCUGGCCUGCCUGGGUCAGCAGAGAUUGCCCUUGUCUCCCAAUCUGUGAAGGGCUUUCCUUUCUUUCUUGGACUUGUAAUUUCCAAACCAGAUAUGAUAUACCAAUAGGAACAAGGAAUAAAACUUGGGAUGCCAAAGGGAGAUGUCUGAUGAAGCACCUGUCCAUGUAAAUAAGUGAAAACCAAAUGGGGGAAAAGGUACAGCAUAGAACAUCAUGAGUGGUCUUUAAUAGGAAUCACUUAUAAAAUGUGGAUCCAGGAAACUUUCCUUGUAUCCCUUCCGAGGAAUGUGGGGAAGAGUGGAUUUUCUCUGGCAAGAGAUCUUUCCCAUUCAUCCUUCCCUUGUUAUCCAGUUAUAUAUUCAUAAUUCAUUAUUUAUACCAACAGAAGUCCUUGUCAAAUUUUUCUUUGCAUUAUUUUAUAAAGGCUUUCCAUGUUUUUAUAAUGAGUAUGUUUAUGGAGCUAGCUCAAAAGAAAAAGUUAUAUACUAAAUAGUGCAAUUGAGUCAGAGUAUAAUUAUUUUGUUACUUUACUGCUUGCUAUUCAGUUUCUAGCAUUCUGCCAUAAAUGAAGGAGUGUACCUGUUUCUUCAAUUCUGAGAACAUUGAGUUUUGUUGUUUUAAUGAUCUCUGCCCUGUGUUGGCGUUGAUCCUCAGCGUUGUUCCAAUUCAUGCCUGUAGUUACUUAAUUGAUUAAUAAGGUUUGAGUGAUUUUUCAAUUGAUUUAAAUUUUUAUUUCCUUUUAUUUGGAUUUUUUCUCCCAACAUUCUUGGAAUUUAUCUAUUAUAGAUAGACAGUUUCUCUGACAAAUAUUUAAUCUUUCCUUGUGAUUUAAGUAAUUACUAUUCCUUAAACCUUUAGGGUAAG